GGACAAGAGGCUGGGUGACUUUAACUUUUACGAAACCUAAGCAGGUUGGGGGCUCAUUGAGAGUGGUUCGCGCUCAGCUGGAGAAGCUAGGCAGGGCGCUGGGGGCGCAGUCCCGUGCUAGCAGCCCGGGGCGGAGGCGGGAGAUGUCUUUUCGGCCUUUCUCCUCCAGGGGUGCGUGUGGGCGCGCCUAGGCUAUGGGCACAGCCCCUCCUGACCCAAGACUCCCCCUCUUCAGGGUCACAUGCUGAGUAUUCACCUGACCCCUUUUCUCCUCCUUGGACGAGGACUCCAGAGGCUUCGUGCCUGGGAGCCAGCCGCAUGGCAGUGGUGGCACACGCCUUUAAUCCCAGCACUUGGGAGGUAGAGGCAGGUGGAUCUCUGUGAGUUCGAGGCCAGCCUUGUCUACAGAACAAGUGCCAGGACAGACUCCAAAGCUACAGAAAAACCCUGUCUCAAAAACAAAAAAAGGUUCGGCCGACUCAUCACAGACCAGACCAGACCAGACCAGACCAGACCAGACCAGACCAGGAGGAUCCCUAUGGAGGCCUAACUCCUGCAGAGUGAGCAGACUACGAGGAGAGGCAAGACCAUCCAGAGCUUCGGACAUUGAAUUCCUGGCCCACACACACUACAGAGUAACAAGAGGAGAUAGAGAGAUCCUUCCUGCACUCACUGGAAAAAGAUAUGGGAAGAAGACAGAAUAAGAACUCUCUCAACAACAGAAAGACCAAUAUGACACCACCAGAAUCUAGGGACUCCACUCCAGCAAGACCUGAAAAGCCCAACAUAGUGCAUGAAGAUGAG
rnacentral:lncRNA from 1 species